GGAACUUCCUGGGUGAGAAGUCUGGAGGAGGACGAAAGCGCUCGGGAGCCUAUUUCUGGCUUUAAUAACAGCCUUGGUGACAACCAACCGCAUGAGAAGGGUGCUGGCAGGCGGGUCCGCCAGAGAACAGUGGCACCUCCUGCCUGGAACAUGGGUUUUCUGUGAGGUCUUGGUGGCCUGUAAUGCAGGGAUGGGGCAGGGAAUGUGGGAUGCAUUCUUAGUCGUGAGAAAGCACAGAUGCCUGAGAAAGGAUGGAAAGAGGAGGAAAACCAAUGCCAUGACAGGGCUUCAAAAGAAUCCUUGAAAUACAGCUGAGGAGGCUGUGUGAGUCAAGUGUAGAGGGUGAGGGCAGAAGCCCGGCCACCUCCUCGCUCAUGUCCUUGAGGGUUCUCCUAGCCUCUCUGUGCCUCAGUUCCUCAUCAGUAGAAUGGGCAGAAUAAUAGCACUUUCUUCACAGACUGUCAAGAUCAAAUGAGUUAAUACAAACCUGCAAAGAGCUGAGGAUGAUACUCUGCUUGUAUCAAGAAAGGUAAACAAUUAUUACAGUAGAAAGCGCUCUGGAGUAGGAAUCAUAAGACUGAGAUUUUUUUUUUUCAUUUGUUUGUUUGUUUUAAGAAGCAGCUUUAUUUACUUAUUUAGGUUUGGCCGUACUGUGCCACAUGUUUCCUGACCAGGUAUCGAACCUACACCCCCUGCAGUGAAAUCCAAGAAUCUUAAGCACUAGACCACCAGGGAAGUCCCCAGAAGUCUGAGUUUUAAUGCUGACUCUGCCUGUGACCAAGUGAAUGCCUCUUUGGGCCUCAGUUUCUUCAUUUGCAACAAGAAUAUGAGGGACUAGACAAAGUCAACCUUCUCUUCCAGCUCUAGCGUCCUAAGAUCUUGACUCUAAGACCAGGCAGAAGCUCUAUGUAGACUUGAUACAAGUCUACUUUGCUCCACAUUCUCUGGGGCACAUCACUGCAAAGCCCACCAUUUAGGAUGCAGGCUUUGGAGAUAAGCAUGUUUUCAACGCUUUGCUCCCCUCUUCAGAUAAAAUAAUGGCUAGGGAUGAUUGGUGGACCUUAGGUCAGUAAUACACGGGAAUGAAUUAAUUACUCCCAAAAUAAUGGUCCCUGGGUAAAGUCACACAGUGUCUCAGCGAGAAGGGAAAUGGAGGAAGAAUCAUGAGUGUAAAUUUCUGAUACACGAUUUUGUCUAUGGGGCAGGUUAGGUCCUGCCCCGUAAGAAAAGAUGAAAAGAAAAGCGAUUGUAGCAUGAAGAAUCUCGGUUAACUACAAGUAGAAAUCCAAUUAAUAGAAUAUGAAGGGAAUCAAAGCCUUGAACGUGAAACUGAGGGAGGUUAGGUAGGACCAGGCAAUGGACUAGGUUCUUGGGGUUCUGUCAAUCGCUGGUCCUGAGUCACCUGGGACCCUCUGGGAGUGUGUGUCUAGGUGUCUCUGGUAGAACCUGCCCUUCCUGGGCAUCUUGGAAGUUCCUCUGGAGUGAAGAUUAACUGGCCUUUUGUACAAAGCCCAGGGAAGGGCAACACUGCUUAAUGAUUCAGUGAUGUGCUACCGGCUGGGCUCUGCGAACUGAGCUCAGAGGAUGUUUGAAAGCUUCUACAGCCAUCAGACAGAAAUUGGAGUGACUCAGAUGACAGCAUUCUCGUCAUGCAAAUCAGAGGCUGCGUAUUCGGCAACUGGUCCAGAGAGAGAGAGAUAAGAGGGGAAAGAGUGGGAGGCAAGGGAAGAGAAGGUGGGCCUUCCAGAGGGUUAUCACCUGGACGCCCCCACCCCACAACUCCAAACCAAGGAAAGAAGCCAGCGGUAGAAGUGGACCCUGGAGUCUCUGUUCCAAUACCAGGGGUAGAAAGAAAUAAAAAGAAAUGAGAGUCUCGUAAGUAUUCUUGGUUUCCUGCAGAUGAAAGAAAUCCAAGGCGGCCAGACCCACCUGCACAAUGUGUGCAGACCUCCACCCAACUGAUGAGGAUCUGUUCCACACUGAAGACUCUCAAAAGACAGUAAUGGGGGAGAAGCAUUCACAUCACCAUUAAGGAAUGGUGAUUUCUUCAUAUAUUUGUAUAAUCAUUCAUUCAUUCGUUCCAUGUUUAUUGAGAUCCUACUGGAUGCAGAUGCUGGGCCAGGUGCUUAGUCCAUAAAGAGAAAUUAGAUACUGUCCCUGUAGGAUAUGGCCACAAGAACCAGUUGUCACAAUACAGCAGUGUAGAGCAGCUUAACAGAUAGAGGCGGUGAAUGCUGGAAAGCACAGACCUGGAGUCAGACCCGGGGCUCGGGAGACACCAUGCUGACCAGGAUCUUAAAGAGGUGAGAGGGCCAGGUGUUUCUCAGCCAUGCCGUCCACCACUUCAGUCACUGGAUUCAAGCUGCCCCUUGAAAGAAUGUGACCUUGGCCAGGCCAUGCACCAAGGACCGAGGGCCAAUGGCUGCAGGCUGACUUUUGGCAGCACUCCUAGCAGCUGGGAGGCUACUGCACUCUACCACUGGCCGAAGCUCCUGGGGCACAGUGACUUGCCAAAGAUGUCUCAGCCGCUCACUGCAGGAUCAGGACCAAGGUCCCAGGCUUCUGUGGCAGAGCAGCGCCUUCUUAGCCCUGGGAGUCUCUGGUUCUUUCUUUUUGUUUUAAGGAUUGGCAGCUUUUCAUGUAUUCCUGUUAGAAGAUAAAAAAUAUUAAAUAACUAC
ensembl:lncRNA